rnacentral:rRNA from 1 species
UAUUGCACAAUGGGGGAAACCCUGAUGCAGCGACGCCGCGUGAAGGAAGAAGUAUUUCGGUAUGUAAACUUCUAUCAGCAGGGAGGAAAAUGACGGUAACUGACUAAGAAGUCCCGGCUAACUACGUGCCAGCAGCCCCGGUAAUACGUAGGGGGCAAGCGUUAUCCGGAUUUACUGGGUGUAAAGGGAGCGUAGACGGACAUGCAAGUCUGGAGUGAAAGCCCGGGGCUCAACCCCGUGACUGCUUUGGAAACUGUGAGUCUUGAGUACCGGAGAGGCAGGCGGAAUUCCCAGUGUAGCGGUGAAAUGCGUAGAUAUUGGGAGGAACACCAGUGGCGAAGGCGGCCUGCUGGACGGUAACUGACGUUGAGGCUCGAAAGCGUGGGGAGCAAACAGG